GUAUGUUUUCAACAGCUAUUUUUGAAAAACGAAAUUUAAUUGGUUGAAAUCUAAAAAAAAAAAAAAAGUGGGUCGUGAUUUAAUGACCGUGGAAAAAUGUGGGUCCCAGGGUGAGACCAGAUGAGAACCCCUGAUUUAAGAGUACUACAUAGCUGAACUCCAGUUCAGGUUUUCCAACCAACACCUGCUAACCGAGAAAUUCAAUUAGGGACUCCUCUUCCCACUUGGAGCUGGUCUCCAGGGCAGAUCUUCCGGACGACUUGCCCUGUAAGAAAUUAGAAAAUGCUACUAUAUAAUCAAAAUAACAGAAAAUAAAUAAAAAAUAACAUAAGUCUGGCUAUUUUUAAAAAAAAUGUUAAACGUUACUAUGUCCACCGUAUAAACAAACAGCGCGUGUGUAUGGGAGGAAGUCGAUGACAGACUGGCCAACAACACCACAGAUCAUUCAAGAAAAGUCAUCCUCUAUAUUAAAAUGCCACAGCUUGAACAACACAAGAAACCAUGGGCUGCAGCAUGAGGUGAUGUUGUUUCUCUUCAGUGGACAAUGGUUUUGUACAGAAUGUUCAGCUGGUAGAUGAGGUGAGCCCCUCUCUGGAGUGACUCCCCAGGAAGAGAAAACGAGGUAGGACAAAUCUCUAACAUGACUGAUUACUGUCCCCACCAUCUCCCCUGUUCAUAUCUUGAACA
rnacentral:lncRNA from 1 species